AAUAUUUUAGUAUUAGGUUUUUGAAUGGUUCUUAGAAAUUCCUAGAUUCUUUGAGAUUCAAUGAACUUUUCAAAGGCAUGUUUCAAUCUCGAGUGUGCCCUCCAAGUUUUGUGACUGGGAUACCGAGGAUCACAAAACGAGGUGUGAAGUAACCAUGCAAAUCACUUGGUACCCUUAAAGUUUAUCACUCAAUCGAUGUGCCGGUUAACCACACACGCUCCAUCGAUACUAUAAUAAACCCUAAGUCACCCUUUACCUACCUUGUUAAGUCCAAGUUAGUGUGCCGGUUAACCACACACGCUCCACCAACGACUUAAUCAAAGUGUAAAGUGUAAUUUCAUGGAAUAGCACCUUAUUCACAUUUUUCCUAAAGUAACUAAGAUUGGGAAUUUAAUAAAACAUUUAGUUACUUUAUAAUAUUCAUCAUACUUUGAAUGAGAAUUAAUAAGUCCUUGUCUUACCCGUUCGGCUAACGACCCUCCACCGAUCAAGCAAGCGGUGGGUGAGAGUGGACACCCAUUAAGUCACCAUUUUAUAGGCAACAACCUUAUACCCACCUUAUAGACCGGCUUCGUGAAUGAGGCGUACUAGCGGUAAGACGACUUUGUUCUUAUACAUAUAUAUAUAAUUAUUAAAUCAUAAUAAUAUAAGUAUAAGGGUUGAAUUUUAACUUUUAAAAUUCUAGGGGUUGGAACUAAAGUUUUAACUUAACUUUACUUGUUCCAAAACUUGAGGGCAAGUUUUGUAAACUUUCAAAACUUUUCAUUUCUUGUAACUUAUGAGUUUAAUAGAGUAAUAAAAUGAGGACUUUUCAUUUUUCCUAACUCUUGUGUUCUUUUAAUGGUUUUUAAUCCAAGAGACUUUUGGUUUUCCAUAACUUGAGGACAAGUUAUGGACUCCAUUAAAACACAUUAUGAUCAAGAAUUAAACUACCAAGUAGGUUACAAGUAAUUCCUAUGAUCAUCUAAAUUCAUAAGAUCAAGAACAUGAAUAUUCAUAUCAAAGUUUCAAGAUCAUAUGAACACAUAUAAUCAUGAAAAUUUGAUAUUAGCCAUUGUAAAUGGAUUAGAACAAACAUUACUCCAUCUAAAAUAAGUUUUAUAACACCAAAACAAUUUAGGGUAAUGUUUCUAGUCCAUUUCCAGCAGCAAAAGUCGAAAAUUUGCACUCUGUCGCUCCCAUUCGCCGAGUGCAUGAACCUACUCAGCGAGUAGGUUGAAGAUACACGUGAACUCGGCGAGUCCCCCCAUGGACUCGGCGAGUUCAUCAGGCAGACAGCAAGUUUUUCGACUUUUUUCAACUUUUUAGCACAAAUAACAAACAAACAAGCCUAGGCUCUGAUACCACUGAUGGGUUUUGAGCAUUCUAACACUUCCUAAGUGUACAUGCAACCCUAAUAACCUUGGAUCUAUGUUUGUCUAAUUAUCAUGCAAAGUUGAUUUCCAAGGCUAUGAUCCUAUCUAGCAUACAUGGGGAACAAUUUUAACUUAAAUAAUAGAUAGAACUACAUACCUUGUUGUUGUAAUUGUUCCUUGAAACCUUGUGAGCCUAGCACCCCAAGUGUGAUGCCUCAAAUGCUUCACACAACACCAAAUGCUAUGGAGUAAACUUGGAGAGAAAGUAUAACACUCUAAAAAUCGGCUCUAGCCCUCUUGUUUUUUGUCUAACCGAUUUUGGGAGAACACAUGAGCUUUAUAUAGUGUUGACACAUCUAGGGUUACACCAUGUAAACCCUAAUGUGUCAUGACUCUUCAUUUCCAUGACCCAUGGGUUUGUAACUCCCAUGGAGCCUGCAUGGAGCAUCCAAUGGGUUUAACCCAACUUGAUUAUCCAUGGAGCCUCUUAGCCCACUAUAUAAGUUAUGGAUGAUUUACAUAAUCAACCCAUAUAUUUAAUUAGUUAUCUUUUGAUCACUUAAUUAAUUCUUGAUCAAACUAAUUAAAUAAUAUUAUUAAUAUAUUAGAACUUAUAAUAUAUUAAUAACCACAAGUGUUAUUUCUCUCAUUUAGUCUAUCCAAUUGCAUGGUGCCAUGCAACCUAAAUGGACCAUGCCGGGUCGGGUCAAGUACAUACCAGAAAUAGUUAUGGACUUAGACACCUUAUCCAACAAUAUACACUAAUUAUAUACAUAUGUGUGUCAUUAUAUGCCUUAUAGGAUCUGUUUGUGCUCGAGACUUCACUUAGUACUUAGCAUCCUACAACCGAUCUUUCAUUUAUAUCACUCACUACAGGUGAGUUCAUACCCCUUUAAUCUACCUUUUAAAUGAUUUUAAAUGCUUUUAUGGGGGGGGGGAAUACAAGUUGAUAACAUUAUAGUUGUUAUAUCAAUCACAUGUGAUUAAUAACUAUCAAACAAGUGAAUUUUCUUAUACUUCAACUGUUUUAUCAAACAAACUCUUCAAAACAUUUUAUAAACUUACAUCAACUCACCUGUUACCAUUCAACUGGUUAAAACUCUUUUAUAUGUUAAACUCUUUUUUAAACUCUUUUAAACUUAUAUAUUGUCAAAAUCACGUCUAUAUAGAUAUAGUUAUAUAAGUAAGGUUUAAAGGACUUAGGACUAAUAACUCACUUUAUUUCAUGUUCCUUGUUUGGUUGUGGACUUAGGGUAUCCGGUUAUUUGUCCGAGUGUCGUUUGAAUCUUAGUUAUGUAUUAUGUAUAUGUGUAUUUAUAUAAAAGUCCUUACAUCAAUUCAGCACCUUUGGGUAGCAAAGGUGUACAAACAUACUCAGUCAUUCAAACAACAUUACUAGUAAACUAUAAAAGGUAUAGUUUAGGGAUUUACUACUCACUAAUUCUAGUACAAUGAAACAUAAAAGAGUCAGUUCAUUCAUGAGUAAAUACAAACUUACUAUUAUGAGAAACAGAAAGAACAUACUAUGAUGAGAAACUAAGAGGACAUACAUUGCACUAUACAAAGAGAACAUACUAUACACUAGAACAGAGAGAACAUGAAAUACACUAGAACAUACUAUACAAACACUAGAGUACUAUAACAUUAAUGUGAGCCACUACUUCAUGGCAUGGCAAGCUACUGUCGUGUCAUGUUUUGUAACCAGAGUCUCCUGGAGGGAGAGCGUGAAUUUGUGUAAAGAUCUAUACGGGACUGACCGUCCUACACCUUGCUGCUAGCUACAAUGGGACCUGUAGGUCUACGGGUGACGAAUGGCAUACCAUUUCGACGUCUUUGAUCGUCUUGUUUUACUAGUCGAUCAAGUAUGGUUACAACCUCAUCACAUUUUACCUUAAUUAACAAACUGGUUUAAGGUAGUUAGUACAUUGGUAGUUACUUAUAUACAAUACUAUAGUACAUCGUUAUUUUCCCAUUGCAUUCACAUUGUGAUCUUCUCACAUAAACGGUAAUGUAAACUAUAUUUUUAGUAAUGAUAGUCAUAAUUGGGAAAUUUACACCCUUUUACAAACAAACAACAUACAGAACAUUCGGGCCUUGGUAGAAGGCUACCUUUUUAGUAGAAAAUAUAGGAUUUUCUAGGAGAUACAAACAUUUACAUCAAACAUUUUCAAACACUUUCAUACAAUCAAUGACACUAAACUACUUAUGAACUCACUAGCUUUAAUGUUGAUCUACUCUUUUAAAAUAACUUGUACUCUGAGGUCACCAUUAGACAUGUACCGAUGACCAGGUUUUUGAGAAGACAGAGCUUUCAAGACUCGUAUUUAUUUUGAUUAUUCAUUUUUGGUGUCUUAUAAACUAUACACAGAACACACUUGUAUUAAAAUUAUACUAUUAAUGCAAUGGAUGAUGUUGUUGCUUGUUUACUAUUAUGCAUUGUUGUGAUAUUGUACAUGACGUCCUCCGCCCCAGAACGUUUCCGCCGUUCCGGUUUUGGGGUGUGACACGUGGCUUUGCAUCCUGCUUAGCAAACAAGUACUUAAUAGCAGAGUGGUUAGUAAAAUAGUAGUUUUAGACAAAAUGAAGUAGGGACGAAAUUUGUCAAAGGCAUACACCACAACUAAUAAUUCUUUUUUAGUUGUAGUGUAGUUUUCUUGGGUCGGAUUUAGGGUCUUGCUACCAUAGUAAAUGGGUUGAAAGUGUUUGUCAACCCUUUGGCCAAGUACAACUCCUAAGGAAUAACUGCUUGCAUCGCACAUUAUCUCAAAUGGUAAGUUCCAAUUCGGGGCGAUAAUGAUCUGGGCAUUAGUUCAUUUUUCUUUCAAAAUUUCAAAAGCAGUUAACACUUUUUAGAAAAAUUAAAAGGUGCAACUUUCAAAAGUAAUUGAGUUAAAGGUCUAGUUAUUUCAGAAAAAUCUUUAAUAAAGCGGUGGUAAAAACUCGCAUGACCCAGGAAACUCCUAACGCCCUUCACACUGCUCCGGCUCGACUUCUCUUAACCUUUUGCUCAUUUUUAGAAAAAUUCAUCUCUUUUUUGAAAAUCUUUCUGAAAUCCUCAGUUUGAGUCCAAACACACCCGAGGGUGCAUCCAAAUCCCUCAAACCAAGGCUCUGAUACCAACUUGUAACAACGUAAUUUUUCAACCAAAAUUUUCAUUUUUAACACAAUAAAAUCUUGUAUCAUAAUUCUCAAAACACAUAUUUCUCAAGUGUCAAUAAAAGAAUACAGAAUCCCAUAAUCAUAAAAACAAUCUCCUGCCGGUAUGUACAAUCAUGUUGGUGCCUUGCCGCGAUCCACGGAACUACCUAAAACCCAUAACACAUAACACGGUAGGCAUAAAAGCUUAGUGAGUUCCCCAAAAAACCACACACAACACAUUAGCCACUCGAGGCUAUAACUCUAUUGACCCUCUGGUCAAUGUGUCUCAGUAGGACCCUCUGGUCCCAUAACUCAUAUGGACCCUCCGGUCCCUCAACUCAGCAUCACAAUAUAAUACUCAUAAAGCAUAACACAAGUAAAUAGCAGGAUAUCUUAUUACACAGUUCAUGCACAUAAGACCCUCUGGUCACACAUAGCUACCACUCAAGGUAAAGUAUAGUGAGAAGAUUACCUUGUAAGCCAAAGAAUGGAAAUCUCGUAAUCUUGAUCGUGAUCUCUACUCCCGGGUCUAGCUCCCGCCUAACACAUAAUAAUUAUCCCUAAUUAAUAUUGGCCCUCAAGAAGCUAGACUAAUCCUUCUACAACUCAUAGAAGGGUAAAAUACCAUUUUACCCCUUCAAUGCUCAAUAGCCCUCAAUCUUGACCAAACCCAAAAAGUCAAUAGCGGAAGUAUGCGGCGCGUAUCAGCUCUGUACGCGGCGCGUACCCCAUGGCUAACCAGAAACGGGGAACUCGAGCCCCUACGUUGCGCGUACUGGGAUUACGCCCGACGUAAGUCCCAGUUUCUCACUUCUCGUGGUUUUAGGUCUAAAUCGGCUAAGACAAAGGCUCAAAUCCCAUAUCUAGUUACUCUAAUGCCUCUCAAUCCAUAAAGUCAGUGACUUUAAGCCUUUGAAUGGCUGUAAAGUUCACCAACUCCCAAAUCAUGCCAUUUCCUUCCUAAAAAGACUCAUAACUCAUGCAUGGUCAACUCUUAAUGACCAAGAUAAGAUUUUUAUGGCUCAACAACACAAAAUAAGCCAACAUGGGAUAGAUCCCGGGUUCUAGGGGCUUAUCAACUCAUAAAGCCAUCAACUUUAGGGACAAAAACCCUAAAAUACCUCACACAUGAACACAACAAAAGAGUAGGAAAGCUUGGAGCUUUUACCUCCAAAUGAAGCCUCUCCCACUGUUAAGCUCAGAUCCAAGAGCUUGGGCUCUAACUCUUUCUUCUCCAAAGCUUCCUUUCCACUCCAAAAGCUCAAGAACGCACCCACAAGCUCUCAAAGGCACUCUCUUGCUACAAGAACGAGAUUUAGGGUUUUGGGGAGGUUAAGUAUCUGGAAAUGGUGGCCACAAGGAGGCCAUAACACUCUUUAAAUAGGGGACACCCUAAAUAUUAGGGUUACAAACUGGGCCUGGUACGCCCCACGUACCCGUCUACCACCCCCUUUCCUUAUCAAGGACCAAUAUAGAAUUAGACUUCGCCCCCGAAGUCAUGCUCCACAAACAACUUUGGAUGUUGCUCCCGCAUCUCAGACUCCGAUUCCCAAGUCGUCUCGAACCCUCUUCAAUGUUGCCACUGGACUUAGACCAAAGGCACCUACUUGGUCCUCAGAACCAUCACCUUUCAGAAUCGUGAUCGAUAUUUCGAUGUAAUUCAGGCCCCCAUCAACCUGAAUAUCCUCUAGUGGUACCACUGCCAUCUCAUCAGCCACACACUUCCUCAAUUGGGAUACAUGGAAGGUGUUAUGGAUCUGACUCAACUCCUCAAGUAGCUCCAAACGGUAUGCUACCUUUCCCACUCUCGUGGUCAUCCUGAAAGGACCAAUGUAUCAGGGCCCUAGCUUGCCCCUCUUCCUAAAUUGGAUCACUACUUUCCAAGGAGAUACCUUCAGGAGGACAAAGUCUCCAACCUGGAACUCGAGCUUGGAUCGCCGCCUAUCCGCGUAACUCUUCUGGCGACUUGGGGUUGUCUGUAUCCGUAACCUCUGUCUGACCUGUUGUAUCUGCUCAGUCGUCUUAAGCACUAUCUCAGUGCUUCCCAUCACUCGCUUCCCUACCUCUCCUCAACAGAUGGGGGUCCGACACCUCCUCCCAUAUAGAAGCUCAAAGGGAGGCAUCCCAAUACUCGAAUGGUGGCCGUUGUUAUACGAAAACUCAACCAAAGGUAGGUAUGUGUCCCAACUUCCACCGAAGUCCAUAACACAUGCUCGAAGCAUGUACUCGAGCGUCUGUAUCAUCCGCUCACUCUGUCCGUCUGUCUGUGGGUGAUAAGCAAUACUGAAGUGCAAUCUCGUACCCAACUCCUCAUGAAACUUCUUCCAGAACCUGGAAGUGAAACACACAUCUUUGUCUGACACAAUCGAGAUCGGCACUCCAUGCCGAGACACCACCUCUCUCACGUAUAUCUCUGUCAGCCUCUCUCUAGAAGAGCUCUCACUGAUAGCAAGGAAAUGAAUGCUCUUCGUCAGUCGGUCCACAAUCACCCAAAUUGCAUCAACACCCCUCGCGCUCCUCGGCAAUUUGGUGAUGAAAUCCAUAGAAAUAUGUUCCCACUUCCACUAGGGAACCUCUAGCGGCUGUAACUUGCCUGCGGACGCUGGUGCUCAGCCUUAAACUGGCGACAUGUCAAGCACCUUUCUACAACCCACGCAACAUCCCUCUUCAUACAGGGCCACCAGUAAUCCCUCUACAGAUCCAAAUACAUCUUAGUGGCCCCGGGAUGGAUCGAAAAUAUUGAUCUGUGUGCCUCCUCCAUCAAUAUGCUACGUGCUCCGCCCAUAAACGACACCCAAACCCGACCAUGAAAGGUCAUAAGCCCUCGGCUAUCAGUAACAAACUCGGACACAUGCCCAAUCACCCGUUCUCUCUUGCGGUUCUCCGGUCUCACAGCCUCUACCUGGGCCUAUCAUAUGGUAUCCAACACAGGAGUCAUCAUUGUCAUCCUCAUGUAUAUGUCUUGAAUCAGGGCACUCUCCACCCUGCGGCUCAGAGCAUCGGCUACCACGUUAGCCUUGCCCGGGUGGUACAGGAUUUCACAGUCAUAAUCCUUUACCAUCCAACCAUCUCCUCUGACGCAUGUUCAGGUUGGGCUGAUCCAUCAGAUACUUCAAACUCUUGUGGUUCGUGUAUAUGGUACACCGAAUCCCAUACAAAUAAUGGCGCCAUAUCUUGAGGGUGAACACUACUACCCCAACUCCAAAUCAUGGGUGGGAUACCUCGUCUCAUGAGGCUUCAACUCCCUCAAUGUGUAUGCUAUCAUGUGCCCUCUCUGCAUAAGCACCGCACCCAACCUUGAUAUGGACGCGUCACAGUAGACCACAAAAUCCCCCAUUCCCUCCGGAAGGGCUAACACCGGGGCUUCGCAUAAUCUCUGGCGAAGAGUCUCAAAUGAGGUCUGCUGCACGGGACCUCAAGUAAAAGCAGCACCCUUCCGGGUCAAUCUGGUGAGGGGAACAACAAUCUUGGAGAAAUCCCUGAUAAAUCUCCAGUAGUAGUCGGCCAACCCUAGAAAGCUCCUGAUCUCGGUGGGGGAUCUCGGUACCUCCCAUCUCUUAACAACCUCAAUCUUGGCCGGAUCGACCAAUAUCCCAUUCUGAUUAACGAGAUGUCCCAAAAAAUAGACCUCUCAUAACCAGAAAUCACACUUGGAGAAUUUGGCAUAAAGCCUCUCUGAUCUCAAUACCCCAAGAAUCUCCCUCAGAUGCUCUUCAUGCUGCUCCCUGGAUCUCGAAUACACCAGAAUAUCGUCGAUGAACACAAUCACUGAUCGGUCCAACAUCGGUCUGCAUACGCAGUUCAUGAGAUCCAUGAACGUUGUUGGUGCAUUGGAGAGCCUGAAAGGCAUCACCACGAACUCGUAAUGCCCAUAACGAGUCCUAAUCACCGUCUUUUGGAUAUCCUCAUCUCGCACCCUCAUUUGGUGAUAUCCCAACCUUAAGUCUAUCUUGGAGAACCAAGAAGCUCCCUGCAAUUGAUUGAACAAAUCGUCGAUCCUCGGUAGUGGAUAACGGUUCUUGACCGUCAACUUGUUCAAAUCCCGUUAAUCAAUUCACAUUCAGUGUGAACCAUCCUUUUUCUUGACAAAAAGGAUUGGCUCUCCCCACGGCGAGCUACUCGGUCGAAUGAAUCCCUUCCCCAACAGCUCCUGAAGUUGCGAGGAUAACUCAUGUAUCUCUGGUGGCGCAAGGCGAUAAGGUGCCUUGGCAAUAGGCACAACACCCGGAAUCAAAUCGAUGCGAAACUCCACCUGCCUCUCGGGAGGCACACCCGCCAACUUCUCGGGGAAAACAUUCGGAAACUCUCGUAGUAUCGGAACCUCGCUGAACGAACUCGGCCUCUCUGCGAAAACUCGUGUAUCCAUCACAUAGGCUACAAACCCUCUAUCGCCACUAGAGUAACACACUUGUACUUUCCGGUUCCCAUGCUCGUCUAGAUCACAAUCUUUACUAAGGUGAGGCACGCUACAAUUAUCACAUCCCACCCUGAUGGCAUGGAUGGAUUGAUCCAUCUUUGUCAUUCUUCGGUCCAAACUGUCUAAUUUAGCCAUCACCGCUGCCAUAUUAUCAGAAAUUAAGUUCAUCGUCCCUCGAGUCGAGUCAUUUCUUGGGUUAUGAUACUCUCUAGAGUGCUUAGAGAAUUCUUCAAUUGGUGCCUUUAUAACCGCGGGUGCUUUCUUCCUGAGUGGUCCUUGGGAGUCAAGGAGCUGCCUAGUUGUCACGUUCACUUCAUCAUAGAAAAUGGAGACUUCUUAUUGAAUGUUUAAAUCAUUAUGGGGGUAGUUCCUCAACAAGCCUUUGUAUAUUUCCCAUGCCUCAUAGAGUGACUCGCCUGCUUGUUGCUCGAAUUUGCAAUGAUUUUUUUCAACUUUUCUAUUUUUGAGGGAAAAUCGAUCAAUAAAUUCUUCACGCAUUUUGGCUCAUGUGGUGAUGGAUCCUGGAAAGAGUGAUUUCAGCCAAUCUUUCACGACACCCUUGAAUGUGGCCGGUAGCAUCCGGAGCAUGAAAAUAUCGUGAGGAACAUUAGGGAUAUUGAAGUAGUCGGCUAUGUCGUUGACCUCGUCGAUAUGUUUGUAUGUUUCUUCAUGAUCUUUCCCGUUGAAUGAGACGUCCCCGAGUUGGGCGAGUAUGUGACCUUUCAAUUCAAAGUUGGCAGUUACUGGAAUCGCGAGUUGCACGAGUCCUAGCCCAGUAUCGUCACGCAUCCUUCUCUCAUUACUAGAAUAUAUGCCUUUAAUGACACGCAAUUUACGACACUCGUUGAUUUAUGAUGCGCAAUAGAGAGUGACCUUAAAAUAGUGUGAUCUCUCCAAAACUUUUAAGGAUUUAAGUCAUGUAUUAUUGUGUGCCCUUAAAUUAGUAUCUCAAGAAAAAAAAAUUAAAAACACGGAGGGCGAUUUAUCUUAAACGUGUGUCCUCUAUAGGUGUCGAUUUAUAAUUAUAGUGAAACGCACCUUGAGCAGAUAACGUGGGGAAAAGGAAACCCUAAAAUUUUGAAAACCCGCGUUGUUCCUUCUUGUUUGGAUCUUCACAAUUCACUCUCCCCUCUUGUUUCUCUAUUGUGAGAAGUGACGGAAAGAAGGGAGACUGGGAUAGAUCUGCCGGUGAUGAUGAAAGGAGGUGUUUUCCGGUCAACUUCAGAGAUGGCGUUGUCGAUUUCGAUGGUGGUGUCGGCUUACAUGCGUGAAUCCUUCGAAACAAGGAAUCAAAUCCACCAUUUUUUCUUCUUGGUAUCGAAAAAUAUGUUUCAAAGGGGUGAAAUCCAUAUCUUUGAUACUUAUGCUUACCUCUCGAUUUCGGAUUGCUUAAAAAAGAACAAUAGGAGAGUGAACGAUGGGAAUCGUCAGGAAUUUGAGUUCUGACGUGCUUCAAUUCUUCAAUUAUCAAGGUAAUGAGCUUCUUCUUCUCUUCCCCCAACCCCUAAGUGUUUCCUGGUGAGUUUUUUUAGUGAUUUGCCUAAAAUGAUUAACAUUUGACAGAAUCCAUAUGUUCUUAUCAUUUACACAUUCAUUCUUCUCUUCUCUUCUCUUCUCUUCUCUUCAAUAUACUAAACAAAGAGGAAUACUGCCCUUUUCUAUGAUUAGUUUUCUAAUGUCUUGUACAUGCUAUCAAGUAUCAAAUAGUUUGGUUUUGGUAUGUUGUACAUACCACCACCUGAUUCAUUUAGUUUUCCAAUGCAAAAACAUUGGAAGUUAAUUUAACUAUUAUUCCUACUACCAAGGAUUUACUAGUAAAGGGGUGGUUACCUGACAAUGGUUAAUUGGAAAUUUGCAGGAGAUCCAUGAAGUGCUAGAAUUUUUCGUGAUGAUGAAGGGGGGACAUUUAUUUGGAAUUUUUUCAGUGAAAAUUUCUAAUGAUGGCAGAGAACUUGUAGUUGGAAGCAAUCAUGAUUCAAUCUAUUGAUUGUUUUAUGGUGAUUUUCUAUAAAAAUCUUGAUUUAUGAUUAUGGAUUGGUUGCAUCUUGUGUAAGUCCCAGUUAGGGUUGCUGGAGGUUUAUUGUUUCCAUUGCAGAAUGUCGAUAAUUGAUGCAUAUCAAGAUAUUAUUGAUGCAUAUGGGUAAACCUAAAUCUCAUUCUCACAACUUAAAAUACUUUUUAAUUUAAUUAUAUUAGUAACAAAUUGUUUUACUUUUUACAGGGUUGCUAAAUAUCAGGAAGCAAAUCCAACAGUUUUUACUGUAAUCACUUUUCCAUUUCUUUUUGCUAUCAUGUUUGGAGAUUGGGGUCAUGGAAUUUGUUUAUUUUUUGGAGCUUUGUUUCUCAUAUCUCAUGAAACAAAGCUUAGUUCUCAUCUCAAGUAUCUCUUCAAUCUGCUAAGAUUUUUUUUUGUCAUUUGGUAUUUUAUAUAAUAAAAAAUUUUGGUUUUAUCUGCAGAAACUUGGGAGUUUCAUGGAGAUGUUAUUUGGUGGGCGUUAUGAACUCCUUUUAAUGUCUGUAUUUUCCAUUUACCUGGUUUAAUAUACAAUGAAUUCUUCUAUGUUCCUUUUCACAUAUUUGGGGCAUCUGCAUAUAAAUGUCGUGACACCUCAUGCAGGUAUUUAAAGUUUAAAUUUAGAUUUCCUCUUUCUUUUUCCUUUCAAUGUGUUCAUAAUAUAAGCUCAACAUAUUAUUUAUGAUAUCUGUAUGUUAAACAACAUUGAUGCAUAUACAAUUGGUUUAAUCAAAUAUGGUGACACGUAUCCAUUUGGUGUGGAUCCUGGUUGGCGUGGAAGCCGAUCAGAGCUACCUUUUUAAACUCUCUGAAAAUGAAAAUGUCUAUUUUAUUCGGUGUUGCACAAAUGAAUCUUGGAAUCUUUUUAAGCUACUUCAAUUCAAUUUUCUUCAACAAUUCAUUAGACAUCAGGUAUCAAUUUGGUGUGGAUCCUAGUUGAGUUUUUACGAACUUUAUUUGGUAUUGGUUAAUAUUUCUUUCCAAAUUCAUGUACUUUUAUCAAUCUUUUCCUUACAUUAUAUGAUUAGAGAAGAUUCUGAUAUGAAAAUAGGUCAUUACAAAUCAUCACUUUGUGCAUAUCUUUUAUCAUAUAGGAAUCCUUAUCUCUCUGAAGGAACUAGAUAGGUUAUUGCUCUCUUUAUUUCUUCCACCCUUAUCGGUAUUAUUAAAUAAAUGAGAAUAAAAUCUUUAAUCUUUUUCUCCUGAUUCAUCCAUGAAUCUUAUCAGGCUGCAGCAACUACAACAACUACAACUGCUUUGGCCAAGAAAUAUGGUGUUGAAAUACGGUUUCAGUUAUGAUGAAGAAGUGACUUACUUAGAAGAUGGUGUUAGAUCUUCAUAUUUGUUGUAAUAAUUGAUUAUUAUAUUAUGCUUUAUUUAGCUUUUUCAACCGAAAUACCAAUUGAUGCUGGAACACCCACGAGAAGUCCUUUGAAGCUGAUAAAUAUUCCUUGAUCAAAUGUAUAUUCUUUUCAGCUCAUGUAAAUUUUCUUAUGAUAAAAAAAUAUCAGUCCAUUACUUAGUCCAUUGCUUCAUGCGCUAUAUGUCAAGAAUUCUACAGGUGAACAGGUAAUAAUUCAUUGAUUUGUGCUCUAUCACAUUAGUCCAUUACGUAACCAUUUUUUUGUGUAGAUUCCUUGUUUGAUCUUGGGUGUGCUUGGCUACAUAUUGGGUGUGUUUGUUCUUAGGUCCGGAUUUCUAUAAGAGUAUUAAUUGGGCAUGAAGUAUUAAUUGCUGGAAAAAACUUGGUUCUUAAUUAAAUACAAAGAAACGUCAUACCCUAUUCAUACUAAGUCCAAAAGAGUCCUACUCAUACACAAAAACUAGAAGAAAAACUAUUAAAUAAAAAAAUUCUGAAAAUACCCCUAUAUCUUAUUUUUUGAAUUAUCUUAAUAGUUAAUACAAACGCUUAUUAUCUGCAAGUCCAUCCAUAUUCAAUGUUAAGGAGAAGUAAUUAAUAUAAUUAAAUCAUUUUAGUUGGUUUUCAGCUUGAAGAAACUCCUUGUUUGCUUGCUCCUGGAAAUGAUGAUUCAGCAAAGGUGAUUGAUGUUGGCUUAAGGGCAGUUUUGUCAUUACCGUAGUGGAUCAGAAGACAAUAUCAAAGUGGGCUAAAAAGGUACUCUAUUUUGUCUGUUUUGAUGUUCAUUGUAUUGGUUGCGUGGGUUUCUCUUGUUGGAUAAAGAUGUUAUCUCAUUCUUUCAUAGUUCUUUCUAGUGUGGACACCAUUUUUUUAUUAUAUGCAUACCAAAUUGUCAAUCUUCAUGGCACUCCAUCUAUCUGUAAUCCAAAUAUUAAAUAUACCUAUGGCAGCUCAAUGGAUAUGUCUAGUUGUUGCUCCAUUUGAAAUCUUUCCUGAUCACCAUAAUAAUCUUAUCACGCACAUUUGUUUGCCAACUCACUUGUCAAAGCUUUGGAACACAGUAGGAUUUAUUGAAUUAUCUUUUUUUUUUUGGAAAUCUGAUUAUGAUCAUGUUUUCGAUUUCAGGGUAAAGAAUUUGAUGUAGACUCAAGAAAAUGUUAAGAGAUUAUUAUUUGGCCAAAGAUCUAGCUAUUAAAGGUUCUUUCUCAUACUAAUAUUGAUGGGUUUGAGCCAUAAGAACAUUCCUAUGUGCACAUACAAACCCUAAUGCUUGGAUCUAGGUUUCUCUAAUUGAACAUGCAAUAAUUCCAAGACUUUGAUUGAUAAAUCUAGUAUAACAAACUAAGAAAUCAGAUCUGAAAGAUUACCUUGAAUUACUUGCUAGAAUCUUCUUGUCCUUGGAGCUUAGAGUCACAAAUGUCACUCCUCUAAUGGCUUACAAACACCAACUUAGCAAGAGUAUGAUUAGAGAGAGAGGGGAGGGUAAGAAAAGUCGGCCAGGGUUUCUUCAAAGGCAAGAGUGCCGAUUUCCUUGACCCCAUGGGUCUAUUUAUACUAGUGAGGCUCCUAGGGUUUCACCCUUAAAACCCUAAUUGGAUAACUUAGGCCCUAAACAAUCCAAUCUCCUUAUAGAUAAGCCUUUGACGAUUUUUAGGUCCUUCCAAACCCCAAAACCGUCCACCCCUUAUCCAUGAGNGUACAACUAUCAUACAAUUGACAGUUUAUGCCCUUUUAUUUAAUUAAUCUCUUUAAGUCACCAAAUUAAUUCCUAAUUAAUUUAUGACUUAUAUUAAUCAAAUAACAAUAUUAUUAUUCCUUAUAUUAUUCUCAUAAUAUAUUAAUAAUAUUUCUUCUCUCAUUAUAAAUCAUCCUGUCAAGUUGCUAUGGUGAAGGCAACCCAAAAGGACCAUGCACAACCGGGUCAAAUACUUGCCUAAUAUAGUUGCAGCCUUAGACACUAUUCCAACAGUCUCCCACUUGGAUAAGUCUAGUAACUAUAUACACAAGCAUAAUCCAAUUAGCAAUCGUAGCUCUCAAAGAAGAUGUCAAACUCUGAUCUUAUCAAUCUUGUCCUUUAGAUAAGGGAUCAUACAAUCCUCUGUUUAGAUAUCAUGCGGACAAUUCUAUGGAAUUAAUUGUCCAGCAGUUGGUUUCUCGAUCUCAGAUUUAUUUGGCAUAGAACUUAAUCGAACAUAUCAAUUCAAUUCUGACCGGGCUCGGCACAUAAGUCAAAUCAAAUAAUCGAGCGGCCGAGAUAUCGCUUUUACAUUCUUAGGAUAAAAGUAACAAAUAACUUCGACUUAUAUGCAUUUACUUAUUCAUUAAUUAAUUAUACACAACAAUGCGUUUUAUAACAUCAAUUUACUGAUGCGGUUUCGCAUUAUCAAUGUACAACCAAUUAACAAAUAACAAACCAUAUAUCUAGGUUUUAAGACCAUAUGAUAUUAUCGUCUUGCGAUCAACCUUUUCGUCAGAUUCCAUAAGGUGAUUCCAGCAAGCGCGGGUUUGUUCCAAUGCUCAAAACUAGUUCAUAAGCACUCAUGAACGUUGCAGCAAACUUUUGCUAUGUCUAAUGCCAUUUAGACAAUCUACACACCAAUUCAUGACAAUCUUCAUUCAUACCUACUUCCAACAUAUGAACGAUUGUGGAUUGUUUGAAUAAUUCGAUUAUUUUAAAUAACUCAAUUAUUCAGGAAGUCAAAACAUGCAAAGUGAAACAAUAGUUAAACAAUUAACAUAAGACAGUAGCUUUACUUAUAAAUAAUACUCCUUUAUGUAAUCAUCAAAUGUUAAUUAUAUUUAUCUAUUACAAGUUUCUAAAACUAUCUAAUCUAAUCUAAUAUCAUCUCUCAGUCCAAUACUCCUAGUAUGCUGCAAAUGCUUAACCCUACUCAGUCCCUUCAUAAGCGGAUCUGCUGGGUUAUCUUCUGAUGAUAUCCUCUUAACCACGAGUUGUCCUUCUUCUACACGAUGUCUAAUAAAGUGAUACUUUCUGUCGAUAUGACGAGAUCUACCAUGAUCCCUUGGUUCCUUGGUCAAGGCAACCGCUCCUUCAUUAUCACAGAAAAUUUCCAUAGGCUCCUUUAUGGCAGGCACAACUCCAAGAUCACCAAUGAAGUUCUUCAACCAUAUUGCCUCCUUCGACGCUUCGCUCGCUGCAAUGUACUCUGAUUCGCACGUUGAAUCAGCUACGGUUUCCUGCUUGGAACUNNNNNNNNNNNNNNNNNNNNNNNNNNNNNNNNNNNNNNNNNNNNNNNNNNNNNNNNNNNNNNNNNNNNNNNNNNNNNNNNNNNNNNNNNNNNNNNNNNNNNNNNNNNNNNNNNNNNNNNNNNNNNNNNNNNNNNNNNNNNNNNNNNNNNNNNNNNNNNNNNNNNNNNNNNNNNNNNNNNNNNNNNNNNNNNNNNNNNNNNNNNNNNNNNNNNNNNNNNNNNNNNNNNNNNNNNNNNNNNNNNNNNNNNNNNNNNNNNNNNNNNNNNNNNNNNNNNNNNNNNNNNNNNNNNNNNNNNNNNNNNNNNNNNNNNNNNNNNNNNNNNNNNNNNNNNNNNNNNNNNNNNNNNNNNNNNNNNNNNNNNNNNNNNNNNNNNNNNNNNNNNNNNNNNNNNNNNNNNNNNNNNNNNNNNNNNNNNNNNNNNNNNNNNNNNNNNNNNNNNNNNNNNNNNNNNNNNNNNNNNNNNNNNNNNNNNNNNNNUGAUUAGAUUUAUUCUUCCAUGCUCCACAUCCCUAUUUCUUCUUAGUCCCUGCAAUUCAGAACAAAUGUGGUAACCACACCCGGUAUCGAGGACCCAAGAAAUAGCAUGAGAUAAAUCAUUAGAUUUAAUCGUGUAUAUACCUGCGAAAGACGGCUUGAUCUUUCCUUCCCUGAUGGCUUGCAAGUAUUUUGGGCAGCUUCUCUUCCAAUGCCCUAUUUUGUGGCAAUGGUGGCACUCUGCCUCCUUUGGGUUAGGGUUAGGCUUGGCAGGACCAACUUUGGUCCGACUAGAAGAGGAACCAUCUUGGGACUUUCCCUUGCGGUGGCUCUUGGACGGAGCCUUCCUCUUCUUGCCUCUUCCCUGCCCAAUGGCCAAAACAGGAGCAGCGGGUGGAUUGGAAGUGGGUGCAACUGACUUGUCCUUGAAGUUGCUCUCAGCAACCCUAAGGAGACCUUGGAGCUUACUUAGGGUGACCUCUUCAUUGUUCAUGUGGUAGGUCAUCCUAAAUUGGUUGUAACACGGAGGCAAGGAAUGGAGUACCAUUUCGAUAGCCAAAUCUUCCCCAAAGUCGACAUUCAACUUGCGAAGACGAUCGACAUACCUUUGCAUCUUUUGCAAGUGUACGGUUAGAGAUUCCCCAUGUCCCAUCUUAGCAGAGAUCAUGUUAGUGAAAAUAUCGUAACGUUCCUGCCUCGUGUUUUGAUAGUAUCUCUCCAAUAAGUCUUGAUGCAUCUCGUACGGGUACAUGUCCUCAUAGGACUUUUGGAAUUUAGCGUUCAUUGUGGCUAUCAUGAUGCAAUGAACCUUCAUUGCAUCACACUCAUGAGUUUCAAAAGCAGCCAUUUCAUCUGGAGUAGUGAUUUCUGGAUUGAUCUUCUCGAGCUUUUCGUCGAGGACAUACUCCUUGUCCUCAUAGCGAGCAAUUGUGCGAAUGUAUCUUAUCCAUUCGCUAAAGUUCGUUCCAUCAAAAGUCACCUUUUGGCAAAGACUCAUCAAUGUGAAUGAACUAGCAACAGCGUUAUUCGCGUUAGACAUCUACAAAUAGAAAGGACAAAGAUUGAUUAGAAUUUGAAUCCCUAAUUAUCACCCAAUAAGAAAAAUUAGGGCUAGGAUCCAACAACAUUAUUUACAUAUUAGAAAAGGGAUGUCGUAAUCCAACAUGCAAACAAUUUGAAGGUAAGUGAAUGACGAUUCACUAAUUCACUAAGUUCUAAAUGUAUUGAGAAUUCCUAGUUUUCGAUGAGAUUCAUUGAACUUUUCAAUGGCAUGUUUAAAUCUCAAUAUGCCCCUCUCGUUUGUGACUGGGAUGCCGAGGAUCACAAAGUGGAUGUGAAUAACCAUGCAAAUCUACAUGGUGCCUUCAUUGUAACAAUCACCUAUUUGAUGUGCCGGUAAACCACACACGCUCCAUCGAACUAUGAUAAACAAUGAAUCACCCUUUGCCACCUUUGCUUAGAACCAAUUAGUGUGCCGGUAAACCACACACGCUCCACUAACUUCUUAGCAAGGGUGCAAAGUGUAAUUUCAUGGGAUUGCAUCAAUUCACUUUUCCUAAAGUAACUAAGAUUGGGAAUUUUUGAAAAAUGUGUAGUUACUUUGUAUUACUUAUUAUACUUUUAAUGAGAGGAUGAGGUUGCCCUAUCCUACCCGUUCGGCUAACGACCCUCCACCAGUCAAGCAAGCGGUAUGUGUGAGUGUACACCCAUCGAGCGCCAUUUUAUAGGUAGCAACCUUAUACCCACAUUAUAUACCGGCUUCGUGAAUGAGGCCUACUAACGGUAAGACUAGCAUUUUANNNNNNNNNNNNNNNNNNNNNNNNNNNNNNNNNNNNNNNNNNNNNNNNNNNNNNNNNNNNNNNNNNNNNNNNNNNNNNNNNNNNNNNNNNNNNNNNNNNNNNNNNNNNNNNNNNNNNNNNNNNNNNNNNNNNNNNNNNNNNNNNNNNNNNNNNNNNNNNNNNNNNNNNNNNNNNNNNNNNNNNNNNNNNNNNNNNNNNNNNNNNNNNNNNNNNNNNNNNNNNNNNNNNNNNNNNNNNNNNNNNNNNNNNNNNNNNNNNNNNNNNNNNNNNNNNNNNNNNNNNNNNNNNNNNNNNNNNNNNNNNNNNNNNNNNNNNNNNNNNNNNNNNNNNNNNNNNNNNNNNNNNNNNNNNNNNNNNNNNNNNNNNNNNNNNNNNNNNNNNNNNNNNNNNNNNNNNNNNNNNNNNNNNNNNNNNNNNNNNNNNNNNNNNNNNNNNNNNNNNNNNNNNNNNNNNNNNNNNNNNNNNNNNNNNNNNNNNNNNNNNNNNNNNNNNNNNNNNNNNNNNNNNNNNNNNNNNNNNNNNNNNNNNNNNNNNNNNNNNNNNNNNNNNNNNNNNNNNNNNNNNNNNNNNNNNNNNNNNNNNNNNNNNNNNNNNNNNNNNNNNNNNNNNNNNNNNNNNNNNNNNNNNNNNNNNNNNNNNNNNNNNNNNNNNNNNNNNNNNNNNNNNNNNNNNNNNNNNNNNNNNNNNNNNNNNNNNNNNNNNNNNNNNNNNNNNNNNNNNNNNNNNNNNNNNNNNNNNNNNNNNNNNNNNNNNNNNNNNNNNNNNNNNNNNNNNNNNNNNNNNNNNNNNNNNNNNNNNNNNNNNNNNNNNNNNNNNNNNNNNNNNNNNNNNNNNNNNNNNNNNNNNNNNNNNNNNNNNNNNNNNNNNNNNNNNNNNNNNNNNUGGGUUUCUCUUGUUGGAUAAAGAUGUUAUCUCAUUCUUUCAUAGUUCUUUCUAGUGUGGACACCAUUUUUUUAUUAUAUGCAUACCAAAUUGUCAAUCUUCAUGGCACUCCAUCUAUCUGUAAUCCAAAUAUUAAAUAUACCUAUGGCAGCUCAAUGGAUAUGUCUAGUUGUUGCUCCAUUUGAAAUCUUUCCUGAUCACCAUAAUAAUCUUAUCACGCACAUUUGUUUGCCAACUCACUUGUCAAAGCUUUGGAACACAGUAGGAUUUAUUGAAUUAUCUUUUUUUUUUUUUGGAAAUCUGAUUAUGAUCAUGUUUUCGAUUUCAGGGUAAAGAAUUUGAUGUAGACUCAAGAAAAUGUUAAGAGAUUAUUAUUUGGCCAAAGAUCUAGCUAUUAAAGGUUCUUUCUCAUACUAAUAUUGAUGGGUUUGAGCCAUAAGAACAUUCCUAUGUGCACAUACAAACCCUAAUGCUUGGAUCUAGGUUUCUCUAAUUGAACAUGCAAUAAUUCCAAGACUUUGAUUGAUAAAUCUAGUAUAACAAACUAAGAAAUCAGAUCUGAAAGAUUACCUUGAAUUACUUGCUAGAAUCUUCUUGUCCUUGGAGUUUAGAGUCACAAAUGNGAGAGGAGGGUGAGAAAUCGGCCAGGGUUACUCCAAUAACAAGGGUGCCGAUUUCCUCAACCCUAUGGGUCUUAUUUAUACUAGUGAGCUCCUAGGGUUUCACCCUUAAAACCCUAAUUGGAUAACUUAGGCCCUAAACAAUCCAAUCUCCUUAUAGAUAAGCCUUGGAUGAUUUCUAGGUCCUUCCAAACCCCAACACCGUCCACCCCUUAUCCCUGAAGGAUUAUAGCCCAAAAUACAACUACCAUAUAAUUGACAGUUUAUGCCCUUUUAUUUAAUUAAUCUCUUUAAGUCACCAAAUUAAUUCCUAAUUAAUUUAUGACUUAUAUUAAUCAAAUAACAAUAUUAUUAUUCCUUAUAUUAUUCUCAUAAUAUAUUAAUAAUAUUUCUUCUCUCAUUAUAAAUCAUCCUGUCAAGUUGCUAUGGUGAAGGCAACCCAAAAGGACAAUGCUCAAUCGGGUCAAAUACUUGCCUAACUAAAUUUGAUAUUAUUCAUUAAUUUUAUAGAAGCAUGUUAAUGGUGAGUCUCAACUAUUCUUUUCCUCCUAUAUUUAUUUGUGUAAUUCUCAACUAUUCUUUUCCUCCUCUAUUUAUUUGUGAAGGUGAACACAUCUGCAACUCAUAGCAAUACAGGCUUGUAUGCAACUCAUAACAUACAUAUUCAUGCUGGUAAGUUAACUCAAUUUGCCUUCACAUAAGCUAUAUAUAUAUAUAUAUAUAUAUAUAUAUANNNNNNNNNNNNNNNNNNNNNNNNNNNNNNNNNNNNNUUCUCAUAUGUAUCUUUUUAACAGGAAUAGGUCCAAGGGCAACUAAUGUUGAAUCAUCAAAUCAAGCAAAUGUUGAUCUUAUAAUGUUGUUCUUUUACAAUGUUGUUCUUUUACAGGUGGUUGGAAUUGGACCUAAAGUUGGUUGUUGAUAUAGGAAUAGUGGGUGCUCCAAAUGCAGGAAAAAAGCAAGUUUUUAAGUUUUAUUAGUGUUGACAUGUAGUGUUGUUUUGACAUGUAAUGUUAGGUAACUUGUUUGACAUGUGAUAUUUUUUUGAAACGAAAUAUCGUUCUUAUGUAUGGUUAUUUAUUUUGUGUUAUGAUAAUUUCAAUCUGUUGUUUAAUUUGAAAAUUAGUAAUUCUAUCAAAUAUAUAUAUAUAUAUAUAUAUAUAUAUAUAUAUAUAACAAUUCAAAUUAUGACACACAAAUACAUGUCAUCUUUAUUUAUGAUAGGGGCUUUAAUGAUACGCAAUGUGUGUCCUAAACGCACAUCGUAAGGUUACGAUGCGCAAACGCGUGUUGUCUUCCUUUAUGACAGGGCCUUCCUUGUUACACAUUGCGUGUCGUAACUGUGCGUCGUAAAUGCGUGUUGUAAAUGCGCGUCGUAAAUAGAUGACACGCAAAAGCGUGUCGUCUCUCGUUAUGACAGGGCCUUCCUUGACACACAUUUGUGCGUCAUCUGAGCGUUUUACAACACGCAUUGCGCGUCGUAAAAGGUUGUUUCUCUAGUAGUGUCUUGUACUCACCCAUGGGUAUGCUUGCAAUGUCCCCCAUGGUGUUAUCAGGUUCGCUUUCGUGCUCGCUUCCUUCUUCAAAUUCCGUUUCGUACUCGGAAUCCUCCUUCUUAGGGUCUUCGUCCAUUAGUCUUGUGUUGGAUUCUCCCACGUGCUUUCCCUUUUUCUUGCUAAAAUCCAAUUUGAGAUUCUUGAAAGGCGACUUAUUUGAUUCUCCAACGGUUUUAUCCUUGUCCUUCCUAAGAGCUGAUUUCGGGUUUUCAAGUGGUGGGAUCAAAGGUGUAUUUGAUCCACGGGUCAUAAAAUACCUGAAAUAAAACAGAAAAACACGUGUAAGAAAACAAAGCGAAGUACAAAGGAAACUGAAAAAUGCAAGGGACUCGUCGAGUUGCUUCGACUAGACUCGACGAGUUCAAGGCUAAAACAGAAAGAAAAAACAAAUUUUUUUAAAAAGAAAGAAAAACAAAAACUUAAAAUUAAUAACUAAUUAAAGAAAAUAGUAACUUUGUGCAAGAUAAAUCUUACACAAAGGAUCGACAACACUAGCAAUUAAAAUGAUUAUUUAAAACCGUUCCCCGGCAACGACGCCAAAAAUUUGAUGUGUGUGAAAUGCACUAGUUUUAAUCCUACUAUUUUAAACACAAAUUAAACACACGAAAGACAGUGUACCUAUUGAUUAGCAAUAUAGUUCAAGCAAGUAGGGUAUCGAACACAGGGAACGGUAACAAUUAAACUAACUACUAGAAUUAUCUAAAUAAAAACAAGUAAUAAAAAGAAGGGUUUUCUCUAGUUUUGCAAGACUAGAAACUUAAGCAAUUAACUAACACUCAAACUAAGACAACUAAAGAAAAUAGAAAGUAACUCGAUUCAAUAAUAAAAGAGACUUCUGUUCAAGUUCGACUCACUUAUUCCUAUGUUUGAUUUUAUGGAAAGUGCAAUGGAUUAAUUCACCAUUGGCUACCGAUUAAUGUGAUUAGAUUCAUGUUCACUAUUACUAAUCCUUAGCAAACAAAUUAAUUAAAAAAUUGGUCAAUUGGUUAAACUAACAGGUUUCCUAGUAUUUUGUUUCGGACCAAGUAAGACUUGUAAUGUUAGUUAACUAAUUUGGUUAAAUUAAUCAACUUAUGUAGGGUUGUUCAUCAUACAUGCUUACACGUUGAUGUACUUAUUUUCUAAUUAAUCCAAGGUUCAUGUUCACUAACACUAGGCAUAUAAUAUUGUUUUCACAAAACCAUAUGAUUCAAGCAAUUAAGAUAUUAUUCAUGCAACUCAAUAACUUGAUUAUUAACAGCAAGACAAUUAUUAUCAACACAUAAGGAACUUUAACAAGCUUACAAGACAAUUCACCAAAUUAAUUAAUCCAUACCAUAAAAUCAAACUAUAUUCACAAGUUAAUCUACCCUAAAUAGAGGUGAUGAGUUUUUAGCUCAUAUCUACAACAAUUAACAUCUCAAAAACGAAAUCUAAUGAUAACAACAUAGUUUAUGCAAAAGAUUAAGAAAAUAGAAUAUGUGUUGCCUUUCAAUCUCUUCCCAAUUGGUCUCUAGGGUGAAAUCUCAAAUUCCAGAGCUUCAAGAAUACUUCUAUUCGCCAAUUUGGCGCCAGAAAGAUCUAGAAAAACUUAGGGUAUCGAACAAUAAUGUCCUUUAUAUAGAUUUAUGAAAACAGAGGCAACUCGUCGAGACCAUCACUUAAAUCCCGUGUACGGUAAGGCACCUGAUGGUUCGCGAAUCUUCUCAUCAACUCGUCGACUUGAGGACCAACUCACUGAGUUCUUCACCCUUUUAGCUUAAUUUCUUCUCACUUUAAUUCUCGGACUUCCGAUCACUAGUCCCGCUUCCUUUUUCACUCGAGCACAUCUUUUAGGCUGAAAAUAUAAUUUUAACAUAAUUAAGUACCUUUUGUUCAAUAAUUGAGACAAAAUAGCUAAAAAGUAUUAAGAUGUUGUACGAAAUAUAUGACUAAAUAUGCACAUAUCAGGACUUAUCUUAUGGUCCAACCAUUUAUCCUAGCCCAAACAUUUGGCAUUCCGUUGGUCCAAUAUCUCAUAAUCAUCAAGGCCCAAUUAUGGCCCACCUAUGGCCCAAUUUUCCAAAUUGGGCUCAAUCCUCUCCAAUGGGCCUUAUCCUAAAGCCCAAUAAUUUCCUUAGUCCAUAAACAUGUUCCCCAUUUGGCACACGAAGGCCCACAACAAGUUAGUCCAAGAAAUGGCCAAAUAAGAACCCAAUCUCAAUUAGAGUUUUUCACAUAAAAUGAUGAUUAGGGUUAAGUGUUCCUACUUAACACAUUAAGGACUUAAUCCAUUAAGUCCAUUACUCCACUAGACCAAACUUACAAUGUGGUCGGGCAUAAUUCGAUAUUCCAAAUCCAACGGUCCAAACGCGGGUCCCGACAAAUCCAAAAUACACAUUUCCAAAAUUAGGGUUUUAUAAACCCUAAUUAGGGUUCCCAACCAAAUCACAAAACCAAUUAAUCUAAUAGUUAAGUUUUUACAUUAAUUAAAGUCUAAUCAAGUCGGGUACCACCCACUACCACCCUGGGCAGUGGUGGUUGGUGGUGGUUCACGACGGUAGCCACCACCUCACGGUGGUGGUGGUUAUAUCUUGGGCCAAAACAACACCAAAAGCACUCCAAACAUCAAUCCAAACGCACCCAAAAUCCCACAUCCACCCGAGAUUGUAGCUAGCAGUGGCGGAACGGCGGCAGAAGAUGGCGGCCACCACCUCACGGUGGUGGUGAUGAGUUUCCUUCCGUUUACUGGCCAAGAGAGAUCCAUACAACAUUAAGCCCAUGAAAUAAAUUCAUACACACACUAAUUCAUGCACAUAGCCACCUCCUCACGGUGGCUGGUGGCGGUGAGAGAAAGAGACUUAGUGGCUGCCACCAUGGUUGGCUGCCAUGGUGGUUUGCCUCACCUCCGGCCAAAAUGUCAUCUACCUCGCAAGCUUCACGGUUCUAGUAGCAUACACGCAUAACACGACAUGAGACCACAGCCCUCAGCCACCAACAUGGCGGCUAGCAACGUCAGAGCUAACAGAAACGGCGGUUAAGGCCGGCAGCAACAACGAGGAUGCGACCCAUGUCACACUCAUUGGAAAGAGCAAGGAAUGGAAAAAAAGGGGUGGCAGAAGGCCUUACCCGAGGCUUCCCGGUCGCUCACGAUCAUGCAACAACGAUUAUGGUCCGUUCGUCGGCCUCCGACGGUCAUCUUAGUUGCUCAUAGCGUCUCCGGUAGCGGCACUGUGGCGGGGGCAUUCAUAGGCAAAGUAGCGGCGGAAGAGGGCGUUCCAAAGGUAGUAGCGGUUGGGGAAAUGAUACUUUAGGGUUAGGGUUACCUAUGCUAAAUCUUGAAGCGAGAAGGGAAGGGUGGUAUGGGUCUAAACCCGUGCUCUUUUCAAACAUCCAUCCAUUUUUACAAGUUUGGCCCCUCCUUCGCCAGAACUUUUCAACAUAACCCCAAUAUAUACCAUUUAGCCCCUUAGCCUCCAACUAUUAUUCAAUAUAAGUCCAAUAUUUUACCAAACACCCCCUGACUUCUGAAAAUCUUCACAAAAUAAAUCCUGGAAUUACACUUUAACCCCCAAAAGUCUAAAUUAUAUCAUUUGGCUCCCCGAAACCAACACUCCCCCUAAAGAUUAUUGAUUUGACUAUAAAAUAAUAAUAAAAAUUACAUCUCAAGGCUUUAGAGUUUAUUAUUUAUUUAAUUUAUUUUAAAUGGAAUGUUACACCAACCCAAUUGCAAAAAAGCCUAAAAUGGCAAACCACAUCCCAAUAUGGCCCAACUUCCAAAUUAGAUCUAAAACUAUUAUGGGACCAAUACCAAGAAAGCUCAUAGUCUAACCGUGGCCCAAAGCCAGAAAUCCAAUGGCCCAAAAAGGACCAAACCCCAAAAAGCCCAAAAUGACAUAUUGGGAGUACGCCUCGUGUACCAGAUGGUACACCCCGCAUACUCACCCUCGAAGCGCGGAGUACAAGUCCAUAAUGUACAAAUCAGCAUUAUGUUGAGCGUACACUUACGUACGCUUAACAUACUCCUUAGGCCACCUUUUAACUCCAAUAAGCACUUAAUCGGUUAAGAUAGCAUGCUAAACUCUAAGAUCUGAUUCCAUAAGGCCACUUAUCACGUAAAGUCGACAACUUUACACUAGUGCAUGGCUUAUUGGGACUCAAGAGCUCAAAAAGAACUUAGCAAAUGUCUUAAUACAUGCAUGGGUCAAAAUACUCCAUAAAGAUGACAUUUUUAUGAACAAGUGACCUCCCAAAUGCCAAGAUCCAACAUUCUAAGAUGUUGGAGUAGCUCAUACUCACAAGGAUGACUUUAAGGACUAAAAUGAACCGAAAAUACUCCUUAAACUAGAUCUAACACCUAGAGUCAUCAAUGUAGAAACUUUAUACCUCCAAAAGGUAGAUCAAGGUGCAACAAGCCUGGAUCCAAAAGCUUCAAUCAAUCCCACACUUCUCCAAGAAGUUCCUUGAACACCAAAAUGCAUGAAAUACCACCAAAAGCUUAAAAACCACUCAAAUGGGGCUAGAGUUUUGUCUCUAGGGUUUAGAGGGAUGGAGGCAGAAGAUAAUAGGGUUUGGUGGUGAGUUAAGGAGCUUAAAUAGGGUCUAAGACCCUAAAUUAGGGUUUGGGUAUGACUGGAGUACGUCCUACGUACUUCUGGUACGCCCAACAUACUCCUUUAAGCAUCCACGAUCAUUCUACCUAGUACGUCUGGCAUACUCCUACGUACGCCAAAUGUACUAGGCUUAACACUAAUACGCCCAACAUACACUUAUGUACGUCCCGAGUACUAGGUUUAACUCUAAUACCACCAAACUUCCGAAGGCUAUAACUUCCUCGUUAUAAGUCUGAUUCUGACGAUCCUUAUAUCCACGGAAAGGUAACUUGAAUCUCUACAAUUCUAUCAAAUCAUCCUUGCCUUAAAACUUCCCGAACAAAAAUCCAAUAUUCAUAAAAGCCUGAAGUGACACUUUACCAAUAUACCGCUUGGCUCCAAAACACAAACCGAACUCUCAGAUCACCUAAAUCACAUUAACCACACCCAAAUGGGUCUGAAUCUCUUUUCCCCAAAGACCUUAAGCCUGAAGGUAACCCGUCUUCAAGCCACAACCCCGAAUUCGGAAACAAUUUGGAACAGGGCGUUACAAACACACACACAUACACACAUACACACACACACACACACACACAUAUAUAUAUAUAUAUAUAUAUAUAUAUUUGUAUUAUAUGGCAUAAUAUUUAUAUCCAUGAUUUUUUCCUUCUUAAUGUAGUUCAAAAAAGAAAAAGUCAACAUCUCCUAAUUCAAUGACAAAUCAUUUUUCACUUGAGUUCUUGACUGUUCAUGAGUUGAUGGGUUUAUUGGAUUUUCUCAAUCCAUUAGUUAAGCAAUUUAAAAUGGCACGUGUCGAUUUGGAUCAAGUCUAACAGAGCGUAUUAGGCUUAAGAUGAUUGUGACAAGAGAAAAGGAUGGUAAGCAUUAUAAUAUUCCUACCACAAGUGAGGUGCCUGCACUCAAUAUAGGUGAUAUUGAUGGUUUCGAUUCACGAGAUAUUGUUUUGGAAAUACAUAGUUGACAUCUUCAACAUAUUAAUGAGUUUCAUCCUAAAUAUCUUUCACUUCAAGACCAUUGUAUUUGGAGGUGACUUUCGAUAGAUUCUUCUAGUAAUACAAAGAGGAAAUCGUUAAGAUAUUGUCCAGGCAUCAUUGCAUUCAUCAAGAUUAUGGCGUGAAUGUACAAUUUUACGUUUGUGUUGAAGUGUUCAAUCGAGUACAAGGAUCAAAUCAGAGUAAAACAAUGUAAUAUGAACACACGAAGUAAAUAAGAUCUGGUUUUAGCUCAUAUUACUUCCAAUGAACACAAGUACAAAAAUGAUAGUAAAACAGGGAAAAACUCUACUAUCAACUCUAUGUUCAACUCCUAUUUAUAGGAGGCUGAAAGUACAAAAAAAUACUAAGGCUAGACACUACGCUUCGUUAAAAUAUGCCUUAGCAAAUACAUAGAAAAUAUACGAAGUAGAUAAUUACACAUACUUCGACAUAUUACAAGACAUUUCGACUCUACAAUCUCCCCCUUUUUAAUCAUGUAGAACUUCUCAAUUCGUGGGAAUCUGUGCAGCAAAAUACAUCAUCCUUCGUAUCUCUGAGUACCAAUUUAUUAUCUUCAUUAACUCAACUCUAUCUCCAUCAUUGUUCUUCUUGCAAUUAUUCAUACGAACAAUGAAGUUUGUAUAUAGUGAUGUAGUAUAUCUUUCCACUUCACCUGCUUGAAAUAGAAACCUCUUAGCCUUGCCAUUCUUAUCUUUCCCAGCAAAGACUAAUCCAAAAGGUUUUAAACAAAUUUCCUCAGUUCAGCUUGAGUCUUCGAUAAUUCCAUAACAACCUUUACUUCCCUAUCCAUUGCUAAUGCUAACUCCUCAUUAGUCAAUGAUAGACAAUCAUAGUAAUUAUCUAUGAAGAUUUUGAUGUGUGCAAGACCAAGCCUCAAAACAUUCUUGUCAGUCCCUUGAAGUUGCGAAGCUUCCAUGUCUUUCAAAAUUAAUGCAACUUGAAUCAGGUCAUUCAAGUUCAUUAGUGGAAAAUCAGCAACUGAGAAAUCACACACUUGAUUGUUCGCCCUUACAGCAUGAUAUCGAAAAUUUUGUAUCAUAUUCUCGAACAAUACAUCUUUUGUUAUGCUGAUCACCUUCUCUAUCUUCACCAAUGACAAUAUUUCUUCUGGUUCUUUUCUAACAACUACAUGAAACCUAAGUUUCAUAUGGAUAAAAUCAUCCUCAUUUUCGAACUUCUCAACAAUCUUGUACUAAGCCAUGAUGAACAUCAUUUCAUUCACUAGAAAAUCAAGCUGAUUCAUAUCAGUAUUAGUGAUAUAGUAGCUUUUUUGGCUUUUUCUCAAAUGCAUACAUUCGAUUGUAAGUAACUCUUGCUUCGAUAUUCUCAUAGCUAUACAACUUCGUUGGAUCUCCCUUAUCCAUACUAGGUGGAUCACUUUCACGAAGUCUUAGUAUGCUUUGUAUGUGGCUUUGUUUCUUCAUUUCAGCUUCAAUUUCAGCCUUUCUCCCUUCUUUCGAUUUUUCAAUCAGAAUCCCCUUCCCUUUAUCAUCAUCUUCAGAAGAAUUUGUUUUAGAAGAACUUGAACUUCCUCCCCCAGUAGAAGAACCACUAAUAAUUCCCUUCAGAAUAGGUCUUAUUGUUGUCUUGAUGGCUUCUAUUGUAAUCACCUCUGAAACUAUAGGUGUUGGAACUUGAGUAGAUACAACUUUUGUUACAUCACCAGUUGUUACAAUCUUCUCAAUCUUUUUCGACUUGUCAACCCCUUUUGUAAUUUUUGAAGAUUUGUCAUCUUGAGCUUGCUUUUCUCCCCCUUGCAUCCUUAUGACAAUAGGAGGAGCACCAGUUGGCAACAUGUUGGCAAAUUUCGUAAUUGGAGCAACAACCUUCUGAAUAGCUUGAUCCAAACCAUGUAACUUUUGAGUUGAAAAUUUAGGAGUUAAGAAGGACUGUGGAGCAGGCUUUGAGACAACUUCUUUAAGCUGACCAAGUAACACCUUCAAAUGGUCAAACUAAGCCUUAUCUUCUUUAUCCUUGGCUUCGAAAGAAUGAAUAAUUGACUGAAAAGUCAGAACAAAAUUUGUAACUGCUGCUGCUAUGAUGUCAACCUUCAAAAGAAUGGAUGAGUAGUUAGUAUUCAAAGUGUUUAAUUCUUUCGAUACAUCAACCUUUAACUCUUCUAGCUUCUGAUUAACAUCCUCACAAACUUUCUUAACAUCUUGAACAAAAAGUACAUGACGUUCUUUGCAACAUUUCGAAGCUCCUUAAUUUAUGAGCCAAACAAUGCAGAUUGAGCUUUGACUCGUAACUCAUUAUUCUGAUCAAUUACAUCCAUCUGCCUUUGCAUUCUGAGUUCAAUAGCCUUAAUCAUUACAUCAACUUCUAUCCCCAAAACCGAAUUCUUGUCUCCAAAAUCAGAUUGUGACUGAAGAAUAGAAUUGAGUUUUCGAUUGAGAAUCUUAAAUUGCUUCCCCGACAUCAGUAUAUGAUCAGGUAUGUUCUCCUCUUCAGAAUCAAAUUCCAAAUCAGCAAAGGUUCCUCCGAAACCUCCUCCAUCUGUUUCAUCAUCAGAAUUUGGUUUUUGUGGAUCGGUGGAUUGUGAUGGGAAUAGUGUAGUGAAAGGUUGUUGUAAUACUUGAUCAAAAGUUGGUGAAGUAGUGGUAGUGGAAAUGUGUCGAAUAAAUGGUGGAAGUGAAACAAAGGUACUUGAUAUAGAUUCAGAAACAGAGGUAAUAGGAAUACCUUGAGAUGAUGGAUGUAUACCCGUAUCAGAUACGUUUGUAACAAUGUUAGAAAUUGGUAUCUCCUCAUGAAUUGAUUUGGUUACAACAAUUUCGAGUGGAAUUGUUGUUGAUGGCAAUGAAACAUUUUGAAGAAUCAAUGGUUGUGAGAGUUUUGGGGAAUUCGAACCCAAAGGUGUGUAUGGGACGAUCUCACUAUCUGAUGACUCAUCUUGAAUCACCAGCUUUUGUUUCUUCAUCUUCUUGUUGAUGUGCUUCACCACAUCCUCAGCUCUUCACUUCUUUGAGGAUGAUGAAACUGGUGCACGAAUCUCAUGAACUGUUACUCUUUUUCUAUUAAGUUAAGGUUUACGAAUAGUAGGAGAUUGAUCUUCUGAAGUUCAUUUUGUAAAAGAUAACUUCUUCACCCUUUUUUUACACACCAUAUUUCGAAGGGACCAAUUCCUUCGAAGAUUCUUCAACAACCUUCUCCUUCGGCUUCUCGGUUUCAUUUAUAAACUUCUUCGGAGACUUAGUCUUAGCUUGUUUAUUGGGGCAUUCUUGAACAACAUCAUCAUCUCCCUUCUUUGAUUUCUUAGCUUCCUUAGAUGAUCCUUCAUCACAUGUUUUCAGCAAAAUCCCAGUUUCAAUGGAAGAAUUAACAUUUUUCAAGUAUGACACCAAUAUAGAGUUUGUUGGAUCAAAUUUCUUCAAUAUACCAUCUAGAAUUCGAGCAACACUUGGGAAUACUUAUGAAUCAUCUGCAACAGUCUUUGGAAAAUGAUACUUCACGAAUUCUGCCUUAGCCUCAUCAACAGGAAUUGGAAUACCUUCUUUCUCAUAUACAUACUGAAGAACCAAACUCCAGUAAAAUGCAUACGAAAUUCCUUUUACUAUAUUCGUGUUUUCCAGACUCUUUAUAACCUCUUUCCAAAUCUGAGUAGCAUAAUCAACAUUGAGAUCAUAGUACAACCCUGCUACCAUAGCAUAAACUUCCAUUCUCCCCUUAUCAAGCCCUACACUUCACCCAGUUAAGUAACGAAGGUAUAUCCCAAAAAAGAAAUUCCAAAUGCAAGGAAGACCAGACUUCUUGAAGUCAUUGAUCUUAACAAGUGGGGGCUGAUGACCCAUCUCGUUAAACAUGAACAUAACUUGAUCACCAGUAGGUUUAAAGAAUGAAGGUGAAUUUGGAAUUACCAAGAUUUGAGUAAACAACUUCUUCAUGAGUCGAAUUUGCUUUCUGUUCACUAGAUUGAAUGUGAUUACAUCAGUGGCUUUGCUGUAAGAAGCAGUGGAACCAUCCAUUGAUAACCAUGAAAGCGGAACAUCAAAAGCAUUGAACAUUGCAGUAGCAAGACCUGAAUGUUGAAGAGCAACAAUCAACAUCUUCAACUCCUUAGGUUACAAUGAAACAUCACCCUCAACCUGAUAAUUAGUGCUUUGGAUCUUCAUGAUGGGUUGCGAUACAAGUUCUUCAGUAGUGGUGGUUGGAUCAGCCGCCAUUGAUUAGGGUUUUGAGAAAUCCUUAAAGAAUAGAGAAAUUUAGGGCUUUUUGAUCGUCUGAUAAUUUGAAUGCGUGAUUAUAAAAGAAGAUAAUAACUUCCAUUUAUACGUAAACCCAAUUAAAUUCCAAACGUUUUCUUAAAAGAGUAAGCCACGUUUGUCCUUGAAAGUCGCACCACUAGCCGUUAAACACGCCAUGUCAGAUAAAGUUCCUUGAAAGUCGGGCCAUGUUGCCAAACUGUCACAUCUAACGCUUCGUGAGUACCAAGUGGAUAAGAUCGAAAACCUUCGGCAUGGAGGUAAGGCUCUUUCUUCUUUGGGAUUAGAGACGAAGUCAUAUGCCAGAAUGUUGAAAUCAUCAGCCUGAGUUGGUAAUACUCAGAACCUCAAGGAUUCCGUGAGUGUAGUGUGCCAAUAGAAUGAGAUAAGAAGCAAACUAACAAAAAUUUUGGAUCUGUAAUGUCGAAAAAUUAAAUUUCGACACAAAAACAAUUUAACCCCGGGCAAAGGUUACUUCGUUAAUUAUGAAGAGAGAUAAUCAACAGCUUGUGUGGUUUCCCGUGAAUUUCAAUCAAAUAUUUAUAAAGAAGUAUUGAAGGGCUUCUUUUUCAAGGCUUCGUGGGUGGCUUAAAAUUUCAUUACAUAUCAACCUAAACAUAAGGUGAGUAAUUGUAACAUAAAUUACUUGUGUGACCAGUGUAGUCAGUGGCAAGUAUGCUUUGGAUUAAUUUGAAAGUGACAAUUGAAAGAAUUGAUACUCCGACGAAAAUCAUAUUCAAAGAAAAAAUAUGUUCAGCUGGAUCCUGUUGGGUAACAAAUGUCGUGGGUUACGAACAUUUGAUCAAGACCACUCAUAACGAAAGAAUAUGAUUUGGAGCAGCAAAAAUUUGGUACUAAAACAAAUGUUUCAUGAAAAUCUGGAACAAAGUUCCCCGUCAAUUCCUUAAAGAUUUAGAAAAUUGGGUUUCACUUUCAUCACGGUCUCAUGAAUCAAGAUCAUAAACAUAGAGUUUUGAUAUGUCUAAGUCACGAUUGGUUUGAUCAAUGACCUCUUGGACAUAUGUCAUUGUGUGUGAAAUGUGUUAGAAAUUUUGAGAUUGAAACAUCCCAAAAAUACAACCCAAAAAUUUUUGUUUGAAAACAUUACUAAACCAUAAUAUCAAAUAUCAAAAGAUAAAAACCAUGAAUCGUGUAUCUCAAAUGUCAUAAUAAAUUAUCAAAUCAAAACUAGUGUCAAGAUCAUAUCAAAAUAUCAGUGUCAACCUCCCAGGCUAAACUGUAGUGUGUGCCAUGCCACCAUCCCGAGCCCUUCCCUUUGCUAGCUGAAGUACCUGAAACCAAGAUUGAAACUGUAAGCACGAAGCUUAGUGAGCUCCCCCAAACUACCACAUACCAUACAAUAACAUAUAAAGCACAUACUGGGUCUUGCCCACUGCAUCGGACCGAAGUUCGGAACUAACUAGGGCCUUGACCAUUGCAUCCGACCGAAGUCCGGAUCUGCAUCGGACCGAAGUCGGGAAUUGACUAGGGUCUUGCCCACUACAUCAGACCAAAAUCUGGAACUAACUAAGGCCUUGCCAACUGCAUCGGACCAAAGUUUGGAUCUGCAUCGGGCCAAAGUCCGGAACUGACUAGGGCCUCGCCCACUGCACCGGACCAAAGUCCGGAACUGCAUUGAACCAAAGUCCAGAACUGACUGAAGAUAGCAUAACAUAAUCAUAGCAUAUAAUAUGAACACAUAUACUGCAUAUUGCAUCGGACCAUAGUCUGGAACACAUAACACAUACCAUGUAUGUAUCACAAAGACAUCAAGCCUACUAAACUACUGCAUCGAACUGUAGUCCGGACCUAUUGCGAACUAAACGGGCCGACAUUAUGGCCGUAGACCCAUUCCUACUGGAAGGAAAACUCACCUCGUAAGGCUGGGUGCUGAAAUGCUGCUAGGGAAUUGUCUGACUGCUGCUCCGGUAACUCCCCGGCUACAAUUCCCAAAAGACACUUAAUCAAACACUAAUAACUAAUCUUAGGGUAAAAUGACUAUUUUACCCCCUGGUCAAAGUCAAUAAUCUAUUGACCUNGGCUUUCCAACUCGCCGAGUCCCUACGCAAACGACUGCCCUGAAUCCUGGUCCUACUCGUCGAGUUAGGCGACGACUCGACGGGUUCACCUUCUUAACCAAUAUUCAAGUCCUUGAUCCUACUCGCCAAGUUGUAUGAACAACUCGCCGAGUUCAUCUUCAUCCGAUGAACACUUAUGCGAAGACUCGCCGAGUUGUGUGAACAACUCGUCGAGUCUGUUCUUACGGGUAAGGAGAUUGCCUUGGACUCGCCGAGUCAGGGCGUAGACUCGCCGAUUCCCUCUACACUCAGAUUCAUGUAUUAACUCACUAAGUCUUUACUCCACUCACUAAACAGACUCGCUACUACUGAACAGGGAAUCUAAGACUCGUGACCUGACUCACCGAGUCCUUUGCAUACAGUUUCUAUUCAGUCGAUUCUAAUCAGUUUUAGUGUAUCCAAUUCAUAGAUCUGGGUUUCUGGUAGGGGUGUAAAUGGGCCAAGCUACUUGUGAGCUACUCGGGAUCGACUCGUUAAAAGCUCGACUUGAGAUCGAAUUAAACAAGCCUGAGCCGAGCUCGAGCCUAACUAUGAGGCUCGUUUAUUAAACGAGCUCGNNNNNNNNNNNNNNNNNNNNNNNNNNNNNNNNNNNNNNNNNNNNNNNNNNNNNNNNNNNNNNNNNNNNNNNNNNNNNNNNNNNNNNNNNNNNNNNNNNNNNNNNNNNNNNNNNNNNNNNNNNNNNNNNNNNNNNNNNNNNNNNNNNNNNNNNNNNNNNNNNNNNNNNNNNNNNNNNNNNNNNNNNNNNNNNNNNNNNNNNNNNNNNNNNNNNNNNNNNNNNNNNNNNNNNNNNNNNNNNNNNNNNNNNNNNNNNNNNNNNNNNNNNNNNNNNNNNNNNNNNNNNNNNNNNNNNNNNNNNNAGUUUUUGGGACUAUCUAAACACGUAAAGUUGCUAACUUUACGUGUAUCUUUGAUGCAAUGAAGCAAUAACACUCAAACUUGGCUAUUAUAGGGGUUACUUGACUAGAACAAAGCCAUGGCUGCCAAAAGAUGGCCUUCUUGAGCUCCUGGAACUCAAGAGAGGCUAGAUCCAAGAUAUGGCUUGAUUACAAAGCUUCAUCACUAGGGAUUUGGGGUUUUUGAGCUCAAAACCAUCAGUUUGGGGACAAACUAGAUCUAGCAAUACAAUAACCAAGAUGAAAGCUUUAUUACCCGAAAGGAUGGCCAAAGAGGAGUAUAUCUCUGGAUCUACUUCUUCUUCCUUGAGUUCUUCUACCUUCUCCUUUUUCUUCUUGCUCAACAAUGCACCAAGAUUUCUUCAAAAGGGAAAAGAUCACUCACACACCCGUCAAGGAGGCUAGGGUUUUGGGAAUUAGUCUCUGAGAGUUGAAGGAGGCUGGUUUGGAGCUAUAAUGGUGUUUAAAUAGGGUAAACACCCUGAAAAUUAGGGCUUCAUCCAGACUGGCGGACUCGCCGAGUCCGGAAUAUGGACUCGUCAAGUCGCCACGCCAACUUCACGUGCUGACCCGCUACUACUCGACGAGUUAGGGCCACUGACUCGUCGAGUAGCUUCUAAAAUAAGAAACAAAAUAAUGUUUUAAAUGCGUACCAGGAACGGGGUGUUACAACUCCCCCCCCCCCCACUUAUCUUAGACUUCGUCCUCGAAGUCUGUUGCUACUGAAUCUGAAAAUAACUCUGGGUAAUGCUCACUCAUCUCCUCCUCGGUCUCCCAUGUCUACUCCGAACCCUUCCGGUGCUGCCAUUGCACCUUCACUAGCCGAACCACCUUGUUCCUCAAGGUCUUCGUCUUCCGAUCCAAGAUUGUAACGGGUCUCUCGAUGUAAUUCAGGUUGCUGUCAGCCUGAAUAUCCUCCAACGGUACAAUUAUUGACUCAUCCACCAAACACUUCCGUAACUAAGACAUAUGGAAAGUGUUGUGGAUCUGGCUAAGCUCUGCUGUAAGAUCUAACCGAUACACAACCCGACCUACCCGGACCAAAACCCUAAAGGGUCCAAUGAACCUAAGGCCUAGCUUGCCCCUCUUCCGGAACCUGAUGACACCCUUCCAGGGUGACACUUUCAGGAGGACCAUAUCACCUACCUGAAACUCCAAGUCAGAACGCCUCCUAUUGGCGUAACUCCUCUAUUGACUAUGAGCAGUCUGGAGCCGGCUACGAACCUGUUGUAUCAACUCUAUGGUCUUAAGCACCACCUCUGUGCUCCCCAUGACUCUCUGACCGACCUCAAAACACCCAAAUGUAAUAUUAAGGCUAGGAUCCAAUCACAAUAUAUUAUAACUUGGAAGAGGUAUGCCGUAAUCCAAGCUAUAACAUAUUUGAAAGGUAGGUGAAUGACGAUUCACCAAUUUCCACCACGAAAAACGAAAUAUUAAAUAUUAGGUUUUUUAUUGGUUCUUAGAAAUUCCUAGAUUAUUUGAGAUUCAAUGAACUUUUCAAAGGCAUGUUUCAAUCUCGAGUGUGCCCUCCAAGUUUUGUGACUGGGAUACCGAGGUUCACAAAACGAGGUGUGAAGUAACCAUGCAAAUCACUUGGUACCCUUAAAGUUUAUCACUCAAUCGAUGUGCCGGUAAACCACACACGCUCCAUCGAUACUAUAAUAAACCUUAAGUCACCCUUUACCUACCUUGUUAAGUCCAAGUUAGUGUGUCGGUUAACCACACACGCUCCACCAACGACUUAAACAAAGUGUAAAGUGUAAUUUCAUGGAUUAUCACCUUAUUCACAUUUUUCCUAAAGUAACUAAGAUUGGGAAUUUAAUAAAACAUUUAGUUACUUUAUAAUAUUCAUCAUACUUUUAAUGAGAAUUUAUAAGUCCUUGUCUUACCCGUUCGGCUAACGACCCUCCACCGAUCAAGCAAGCGGUGGGUGAGAGUGGACACCCAUUAAGUUGCCAUUUUAUAGGCAACAACCUUAUACCCACCUUAUAGACCGGUUUCGUGAAUGAGGCGUACUAGCGGUAAGACGACUUUGUUCUUAUACAUAUAUAUAUAUAUAUAUAUAUAUAUAUAUAUAUAUAUAUAUAAUUAUUAAAUCAU
rnacentral:lncRNA from 1 species